UCACUGAAUGCCAAAUAUGCACCUGCUACUAUGCUAGAGGCCUAGAGUCUGCACCUGCAUAUUCCUACAGCUUCUCAGAGUCCUGUGGACGAUGACUGAGGAGACAAACCAUGCAGGAAACAUCU
rnacentral:snoRNA from 1 species